rnacentral:rRNA from 1 species
GAUGAACGCUGGCGGCGUGCCUAAUACAUGCAAGUCGAGCGAACAGACGAGGAGCUUGCUCCUCUGACGUUAGCGGCGGACGGGUGAGUAACACGUGGAUAACCUACCUAUAAGACUGGGAUAACUUCGGGAAACCGGAGCUAAUACCAGAUAAUAUAUUGAACCGCAUGGUUCAAUAGUGAAAGACGGUUUUGCUGUCACUUAUAGAUGGAUCCGCGCCGCAUUAGCUAGUUGGUAAGGUAACGGCUUACCAAGGCAACGAUGCGUAGCCGACCUGAGAGGGUGAUCGGCCACACUGGAACUGAGACACGGUCCAGACUCCUAAGGGAGGCAGCAGUAGGGAAUCUUCCGCAAUGGGCGAAAGCCUGACGGAGCAACGCCGCGUGAGUGAUGAAGGUCUUCGGAUCGUAAAACUCUGUUAUUAGGGAAGAACAAAUGUGUAAGUAACUAUGCACGUCUUGACGGUACCUAAUCAGAAAGCCACGGCUAACUACGUG